UUAAGUUAUUAAGGGCGCACGGUGGAUGCCUUGGCACUAGAAGCCGAUGAAGGACGUUACUAACGACGAUAUGCUUUGGGGAGCUGUAAGUAAGCUUUGAUCCAGAGAUUUCCGAAUGGGGAAACCCAGCAUGAGUUAUGUCAUGUUAUCGAUAUGUGAAUACAUAGCAUAUCAGAAGGCACACCCGGAGAACUGAAACAUCUUAGUACCCGGAGGAAGAGAAAGAAAAUUCGAUUCCCUUAGUAGCGGCGAGCGAAACGGGAAGAGCCCAAACCAACAAGCUUGCUUGUUGGGGUUGUAGGACACUCUAUACGGAGUUACAAAGGACGACAUUAGACGAAUCAUCUGGAAAGAUGAAUCAAAGAAGGUAAUAAUCCUGUAGUCGAAAAUGUUGUCUCUCUUGAGUGGAUCCUGAGUACGACGGAGCACGUGAAAUUCCGUCGGAAUCUGGGAGGACCAUCUCCUAAGGCUAAAUACUCUCUAGUGACCGAUAGUGAACCAGUACCGUGAGGGAAAGGUGAAAAGCACCCCGGAAGGGGAGUGAAAUAGAACCUGAAACCGUGUGCUUACAAGUAGUCAGAGCCCGUUAAUGGGUGAUGGCGUGCCUUUUGUAGAAUGAACCGGCGAGUUACGAUUUGAUGCAAGGUUAAGCAGUAAAUGUGGAGCCGUAGCGAAAGCGAGUCUGAAUAGGGCGUUUAGUAUUUGGUCGUAGACCCGAAACCAGGUGAUCUACCCUUGGUCAGGUUGAAGUUCAGGUAACACUGAAUGGAGGACCGAACCGACUUACGUUGAAAAGUGAGCGGAUGAACUGAGGGUAGCGGAGAAAUUCCAAUCGAACCUGGAGAUAGCUGGUUCUCUCCGAAAUAGCUUUAGGGCUAGCCUCAAGUGAUGAUUAUUGGAGGUAGAGCACUGUUUGGACGAGGGGCCCCUCUCGGGUUACCGAAUUCAGACAAACUCCGAAUGCCAAUUAAUUUAACUUGGGAGUCAGAACAUGGGUGAUAAGGUCCGUGUUCGAAAGGGAAACAGCCCAGACCACCAGCUAAGGUCCCAAAAUAUAUGUUAAGUGGAAAAGGAUGUGGCGUUGCCCAGACAACUAGGAUGUUGGCUUAGAAGCAGCCAUCAUUUAAAGAGUGCGUAAUAGCUCACUAGUCGAGUGACACUGCGCCGAAAAUGUACCGGGGCUAAACAUAUUACCGAAGCUGUGGAUUGUCCUUUGGACAAUGGUAGGAGAGCGUUCUAAGGGCGUUGAAGCAUGAUCGUAAGGACAUGUGGAGCGCUUAGAAGUGAGAAUGCCGGUGUGAGUAGCGAAAGACGGGUGAGAAUCCCGUCCACCGAUUGACUAAGGUUUCCAGAGGAAGGCUCGUCCGCUCUGGGUUAGUCGGGUCCUAAGCUGAGGCCGACAGGCGUAGGCGAUGGAUAACAGGUUGAUAUUCCUGUACCACCUAUAAUCGUUUUAAUCGAUGGGGGGACGCAGUAGGAUAGGCGAAGCGUGCGAUUGGAUUGCACGUCUAAGCAGUAAGGCUGAGUAUUAGGCAAAUCCGGUACUCGUUAAGGCUGAGCUGUGAUGGGGAGAAGACAUUGUGUCUUCGAGUCGUUGAUUUCACACUGCCGAGAAAAGCCUCUAGAUAGAAAAUAGGUGCCCGUACCGCAAACCGACACAGGUAGUCAAGAUGAGAAUUCUAAGGUGAGCGAGCGAACUCUCGUUAAGGAACUCGGCAAAAUGACCCCGUAACUUCGGGAGAAGGGGUGCUCUUUAGGGUUAACGCCCAGAAGAGCCGCAGUGAAUAGGCCCAAGCGACUGUUUAUCAAAAACACAGGUCUCUGCUAAACCGUAAGGUGAUGUAUAGGGGCUGACGCCUGCCCGGUGCUGGAAGGUUAAGAGGAGUGGUUAGCUUCUGCGAAGCUACGAAUCGAAGCCCCAGUAAACGGCGGCCGUAACUAUAACGGUCCUAAGGUAGCGAAAUUCCUUGUCGGGUAAGUUCCGACCCGCACGAAAGGCGUAACGAUUUGGGCACUGUCUCAACGAGAGACUCGGUGAAAUCAUAGUACCUGUGAAGAUGCAGGUUACCCGCGACAGGACGGAAAGACCCCGUGGAGCUUUACUGUAGCCUGAUAUUGAAAUUCGGCACAGCUUGUACAGGAUAGGUAGGAGCCUUUGAAACGUGAGCGCUAGCUUACGUGGAGGCGCUGGUGGGAUACUACCCUAGCUGUGUUGGCUUUCUAACCCGCACCACUUAUCGUGGUGGGAGACAGUGUCAGGCGGGCAGUUUGACUGGGGCGGUCGCCUCCUAAAAGGUAACGGAGGCGCUCAAAGGUUCCCUCAGAAUGGUUGGAAAUCAUUCAUAGAGUGUAAAGGCAUAAGGGAGCUUGACUGCGAGACCUACAAGUCGAGCAGGGUCGAAAGACGGACUUAGUGAUCCGGUGGUUCCGCAUGGAAGGGCCAUCGCUCAACGGAUAAAAGCUACCCCGGGGAUAACAGGCUUAUCUCCCCCAAGAGUUCACAUCGACGGGGAGGUUUGGCACCUCGAUGUCGGCUCAUCGCAUCCUGGGGCUGUAGUCGGUCCCAAGGGUUGGGCUGUUCGCCCAUUAAAGCGGUACGCGAGCUGGGUUCAGAACGUCGUGAGACAGUUCGGUCCCUAUCCGUCGUGGGCGUAGGAAAUUUGAGAGGAGCUGUCCUUAGUACGAGAGGACCGGGAUGGACAUACCUCUGGUGUACCAGUUGUCGUGCCAACGGCAUAGCUGGGUAGCUAUGUGUGGACGGGAUAAGUGCUGAAAGCAUCUAAGCAUGAAGCCCCC
rnacentral:rRNA from 1 species